GAUGAACGCUGGCGGCGUGCUUAACACAUGCAAGUCGAACGGGAAACCUUUUAUUGAUGCUUCGGCAGAUUUAGCUGGUUUCUAGUGGCGGACGGGUGAGUAACGCGUGGGUAACCUGCCUUAUACAGGGGGAUAACAACCAGAAAUGGUUGCUAAUACCGCAUAAGCGCACAGGACCGCAUGGUCCGGUGUGAAAAACUCCGGUGGUAUAAGAUGGACCCGCGUUGGAUUAGCUAGUUGGCAGGGUAACGGCCUACCAAGGCGACGAUCCAUAGCCGGCCUGAGAGGGUGAACGGACACAUUGGGACUGAGCCACGGCCCAGACUCCUAGGGGAGGCAGCAGUGGGGAAUAUUGCACAAUGGGGGAAACCCUGAUGCAGCGACGCCGCGUGAAGGAAGAAGUAUCUCGGUAUGUAAACUUCUAUCAGCAGGGAAGAUAGUGACGGUACCUGACUAAGAAGCCCCGGCUAACUACGUG
rnacentral:rRNA from 1 species